rnacentral:rRNA from 1 species
AUUGAACGCUGGCGGAAUGCUUUACACAUGCGAGUCGAACGGCAGCACGGACUUCGGUCUGGUGGCGAGUGGCGAACGGGUGAGUAAUGUAUCGGAACGUGCCCAGUCGUGGGGGAUAACGUAGUGAAAAUUACGCUAAUACCGCAUACGAUCUAUGGAUGAAAGCGGGGGAUCGCAAGACCUCGCGCGAUUGGAGCGGCCGAUAUCAGAUUAGGUAGUUGGGGGGGUAAAAGCCCACCAAGCCAACGAUCUGUAGCUGGUCUGAGAGGACGACCAGCCAAACUACAACUGAGACACGGUCCAGACUCCUACGGGAGGCAGCAGUUCGGAAUUUGGGAGAAUGGGCGAAAGCCUGAUCCAGCCAGUCCUCGUUCAGGAUGAAGGCCCUCGGGUUGUAAACUGCUUUUGUACAGAACGAAAAGGUUUCUACUAAUACUAGGAGCUCAUGACGGUACUGUAAGAAUAAGCACCGGCUAAGUACGUGCCAGCAGCCGCCGUAA